GUGCUUUACUUCCUUAAUGCCUAGGUUCGGCUGUGCCAGUUUUGCUCUGCAUAACCUAACAUCCCUAUUUUAUUUACUGAGUCAGAUCACUUGGCCAAGACGACUCCAUGCACAGUUACAAUCCUCAUAUCCGAAGUAAAAUGAGCACCAAGAGAGAUCCCACGCCUGGACAGGAGAAAGUGAUUGCUUGCAUUGAGUUGAAAUGAGCAAGGUGGAGGAGAAGCAAGAUUCAGCAGAAGAAACAAGAUUGUCAGCACUGGCAUCUUGGAAGCGACCAAGAAGGGAACACUCUGGGGCUUCAUUUGUGGGCUCGAUUUUAGUGAAAGUGCCAAGUUGUCAGGUGGAGGGGUGCCAUGUGGCGUUGUUGAAUGCUAAAGAUUUUUACAGGAAGUAUAGAGUUAAUUUGUGAGACGCAUUCCAAGGCUCCUAAUGUAAUUGUUCGAGGUUUGGGGCAGCGGUUCUGUUAGAUAUGUACCUGAAUCUGAUGUAGAGUGACAGUUUGCCUGGAAUGAUGAUUGCUGGAUGGGCUUCUUGGUGAGAUUAAAAGUGGG